rnacentral:rRNA from 1 species
ACUCCUGCGGGAGGCAGCAGUGGGGAAUUUUGGACAAUGGGCGAAAGCCUGAUCCAGCAAUGCCGCGUGAGUGAAGAAGGCCUUCGGGUUGUAAAGCUCUUUUGUCAGGGAAGAAACGGUGAAAGCUAAUAUCUUUUGCUAAUGACGGUACCUGAAGAAUAAGCACCGGCUAACUACGUGCCAGCAGCCGCGGUAAUACGUAGGGUGCAAGCGUUAAUCGGAAUUACUGGGCGUAAAGCGUGCGCAGGCGGUUUUGUAAGUCUGAUGUGAAAUCCCCGGGCUCAACCUGGGAAUUGCAUUGGAGACUGCAAGGCUAGAAUCUGGCAGAGGGGGGUAGAAUUCCACGUGUAGCAGUGAAAUGCGUAGAUAUGUGGAGGAACACCGAUGGCGAAGGCAGCCCCCUGGGUCAAGAUUGACGCUCAUGCACGAAAGCGUGGGGAGCAAACAGGAUUAGAUACCCUGGUAGUCCCAUG